UCUUAUCUUGACCCGCUGAAAUUUAGUUUCAUAUCUACCAUUCGACAGAUUAGACGAUACUACCUCCACCCCUCCGAUUGUGUGAAACCCAAAAUUCUCGAUUGAAUAUAGGGAACUUUGCAGACCAUUUUUCCCCUCAAUUCCCCUUCUUGUACACUGUCCUCGCCCCAAAUUCAAGUGAGAGCUUCAAAACUUGAGUUUCUAUAGUUGCGGCCAUAAGAGGAAGAUCGAUUUAGAGGCUAAGGGAGGUAUUUCCAUGGCCAUGACAGACCAACUAUAUCAGACUAAGGCGGAAAGAACUAUCAUACUUCAUGCUAAUGCUUGAGGAGAUAAUUACUAACCAUCGGUUGAAUAUGUUAGUUAUUUGGAUGUUAAUCUCCAUUAUCAUAUCCAAGAAGACCAAGAAAACUAGAAGGUUUUGGAGGAAUAGGUUUUCAUUGCUUUAGCGCAUUCCAGCUAAUGUACACCACAUUAAUAGAUUGGUUGGUGUAACUGAUCGGUCAUUCUUGGAUAAUCUACGCAUGUAUAGGAACACAUUCGGUCGACUAUGCCAUUUAUUGAAUGAUGUCAGUGGUUUUGUAGAUAAGAAGUUCGUCACCCUUGAAGAACAAGUAGCAAUGUUCUUGGGUAUACUGUCUCACCACAAAAAAACUCGUGUGGUUGGUUUCGAUUUCUUUCGCUCAUCGCAGACCGUUUCUCGCUACCUGCAUGUUGUUUUAUAUGGCAUGCUAAAGCUUCAUGAAAUUUUGCUAGUGAAACCUGAACCGGUUGAGGAAAAUUGCACCGACACAAGGUGGAAGUGGUUUAAGGGAUGUCUUGGAGCAUUGGACGAGACAUACAUCAGCGUUCGUGUUCCUACAUCAGAUUUUCUCAAGUAACACAAUAGGAAAGGACAAAUAGCCACCAACACAUUGGCUGUAUGCGACCACCGUCUAAAAUUUAUCUGUGUUACCUGGGUGGGAGGGAUCUGCAGGGGGCUCGAGGAUGUUGCGAGACACACUCAGUAGACCACUUGGCUUCAAAGUACCAAGAGGGUAGGCAUCAUCGUCGACUUUGUGUAUAAACAAGAGAUCAGGGGAAGACUCCCACAGGGCGAACACAGAUUUUGGCCCAAACAUGUGUGGAAAGGUUAUAUCCCUUCAAAGUACUCCUUUACCACCUGGUAGGCAAUCAGGGGAAGACUCCCAACCCGAGACAGACUCACAUACCUUGACAUUGAUCAGGUAUGUCCACUAUGUAACGAGGAACCAGAAACGGCCAGCCAUCUUUUCUUUUUGUGCAACACAACUAGAAGAACUUGGCAAGAUAUUAAGAUGUGGCUUGGCAUCAGAAGACCCCUCACAACAAUACCAAGUGCCAUUAAAUGGAUGGCGCGAGAGAAUGUUGGAUGGACUGUCAAGAAGAAAGCAAAAUGGAUAGCACUCGCUGCUUUGGUAAGUCUUACGUGGAAAGCCAGAAAUGCGCUUAUCUUUGAUAGCAAAUCAUUCGACAUGGCACGAUUACUCUUUGAGGUAAAAAGAGUAACUUUUGCUACUCUUUACUUGCAAUAAGAUGGGUCCCAAGGUCUUUGCCUUGGUUGUGUGUGUAUGCCACUACCAAAGGAGUAUACCCUUUGGUAGGAUGGCCUUUGAGAUUGGGACACUGAUGUCUUUGAACGACCUAAUCCUUAAUCCUGUCGCAUACUUUAUCCAUUUCCUUGUAGCUUCAGGAGUCGGACCAUGCGCUAGCUCCGACUUUCUGACAUGUUUCGAGCCCUCUAGCCAAGGGAGCUUUGGACGAUCAUCCGUGGGACUGGGCGACAAUCCGAGUGCCCUAGCCCAAAGGUGUCUAAACCGGCAUGGCGCAGCAAACAACCCCUGAAUCGCUGGUUCGUAUCGCCUUUUAAUUGGGUCAUUUCGGGGGGGGGGGUACGAACACCCCACAAGCUAGAAUGUCCCUUGUGUUCCGAGUCGGUCGGUAUAGGGAUGAUUUGCAUGAUAAACAAAAGGUCCGCCUAGCACUAGUUUGUCCGACUGUCCAAGCUAUAACUCCUUUUCCCCCUACCUCUUUAGGGUACUCUUUUUCCUCUUGAGGAUUUUAUCCCAUUGGGUUUUGCCUCAAGAGGUUUUAAUGAGGCCCGCCCUCCACCAUUGGAGGGUUUGUGGUUUAGGGGUAGACCCGGACCUUCCCACAUAGGUAUGCCUAUGUUUCCUUGUAAACCUCAUUACCGCAAGGACGAUUGUCUAAGCCAUUAGGCUUUCUAUGGACUACAAGUAUAAUUUGUGUUUGUGUUGUACGUUGGCUUGACACAAGCCCUUGGGUAUGCCCAAGAUCGGUUGUAUUUUGUUAUUCCUCUCCCCGGCCUGCUAGCUUGACUAUUUGGUCGUAUCCCUCGGGUAUGCCCGAGUUAUGAUUGUACUUUUACUUAUUUUAUUUGAUUUAUUUACACACAAAAAAAGAGAGAUCAAUGGUGUGAGACCAAAUCUUUCAUGUGAAGAGGUUGAGUGAAGGAACUUACCCAUUCGGAUCCAGUGAGGAGGUUGCGCCAUUAUUUUUGAGUAGUUGGGAUGUGAAAUGUGAGCAUUGACAUAGGGUUUCCUCCUAUUUAAUUCUUCAAUCUAGUGGAACUAUCACUAUGCAUCAGCUUUGUUCUUUUUUAAUAUCUGAUUGGAAUAGUUGUAGAAAUGAAUGCAUUUUAGGAGUAGGCCGGCUAGGUGAAGAUAUGCACACUAAAGUAGGUGGUUUCUUUGCACUCAAAACCUAAAAUUAAUGAGAGGAAAUGGCGUUGGAGAGCUUUUGCAGAUUUUUGAGUGAUUGAAUUUUGUCACCAUGCUUAAAUUGAAUUCUCGCCAGUUGCAUUAAAGAUGAGUAGGUAUUUAGGUGAUGGAAAUUCUGUAUAAAUCUUCUAUUAAGUUGCACCAUUAUUGACAGCUAAACCAUCCAAUAUUCCAAACAAAAUAUUCCUAAACCCUUCAGCUUGAAAUGCCUAUUUACGUCCAUCCUCAGUCAACGUUCUUCUACAGACAAACAUGGACGUAUAAGCUUGAUACGCACCUGUUGUUAACAUUUUCUCAUCUCAAGGAAACGUAUAUGGGAGGGCACAAGCAUUCAACAAGUAGCAAUCAGUGAAGCCGCAACAAUACUCGCCGGAGAGCAUGUCGUUCAACUCACGUGUGACGAACUCUCAACACGGCUACAAGUGCUCAAAGCUCGAUACGACAUUUUCAAUGAGGUUGUUGCAACAAAUGGCGCGACAUAAGACCUCAAACAUAAUGUCAUUGUAGCCACAGAGGAAGUGUGGAGUGAAAUAUUGAAGCGAGAUCCAUUCGUCGAGGCUUACUACUAUCGCGACGAGCCAAACUACAAUAUGCUUGCUAUUUGUUUCGAGCUCAAGGAUGUCAAAAAGGAAGAUGAUAUGGAGGUCAUCAAUGUGAUGGACACACCUCAAGCUUUUGGCCGAGCUCUAGAUGGUACUGAAGUCACAAGAUAUGACAGAGCUUGUCAUUAUAUCGGACUCGUCUGAAGGUUUUAACAAUGUGAAAGGUGUUUAUCUCAUCUUCUAACCUGAUAUGGAUGAAGUCAAUUCACCUAUGGCCCCUAUGGCUAAAGGUGUGCGGCGCAAACUCUUCUCCUCGGACUAUGUGGAUUCUCUAGACCGAAAUUCCUCUACUUAUGGAUCUGUCCCCAAGCCACCAUGUUGCUCGGGCCCCUCCUACUAAAUAUUAGAUAUCAGCUAUGAAAGUCUGGAUCCCUUUUGAUUGUGGCUUGUGUAAAACGAGUAAACAUUUUAGGAUCAAGUUAUGGAUGACUACCUAUGGUUUCGUAGGUUGAAGAACGUUGUGUAAGCACGUUUGUCUAGCUGCUACUUAGUUAAACUUUUGUUGAA